rnacentral:rRNA from 1 species
GACGAACGCUGGCGGCGUGCCUAAUACAUGCAAGUCGAGCGAAUCACUGGGAGCUUGCUCCCGGUGGUUAGCGGCGGACGGGUGAGUAACACGUGGGCAACCUGCCUGUAAGACUGGGAUAACACCGGGAAACCGGUGCUAAUACCGGAUAAUUCUUUUCUGCACAUGCAGGAAAGCUGAAAGUCGGUUUCGGCUGACACUUACAGAUGGGCCCGCGGCGCAUUAGCUAGUUGGUGAGGUAACCGCUCACCAAGGCGACGAUGCGUAGCCGACCUGAGAGGGUGAUCGGCCACACUGGGACUGAGACACGGCCCAGACUCCUACGGGAGGCAGCAGUAGGGAAUCUUCCACAAUGGACGAAAGUCUGAUGGAGCAACGCCGCGUGAGCGAUGAAGGCCUUCGGGUCGUAAAGCUCUGUUGUUAGGGAAGAACAAGUACCGGAGUAACUGCCGGUACCUUGACGGUACCUAACCAGAAAGCCACGGCUAACUACGUGCCAGCCGCCGCCGUAA